rnacentral:rRNA from 1 species
AGUGAACGCUGGCGGUAGGCCUAACACAUGCAAGUCGAACGGCAGCACAGUAAGAGCUUGCUCUUACGGGUGGCGAGUGGCGGACGGGUGAGGAAUACAUCGGAAUCUACUUUUUCGUGGGGGAUAACGUAGGGAAACUUACGCUAAUACCGCAUACGACCUACGGGUGAAAGCAGGGGAUCUUCGGACCUUGCGCGAUUGAAUGAGCCGAUGUCGGAUUAGCUAGUUGGCGGGGUAAAGGCCCACCAAGGCGACGAUCCGUAGCUGGUCUGAGAGGAUGAUCAGCCACACUGGAACUGAGACACGGUCCAGACUCCUACGGGAGGCAGCAGUGGGGAAUAUUAGACAAUGGGCGCAAGGCUGAUCCAGCCAUACCGCGUGGGUGAAGAAGGCCUUCGGGUUGUAAAGCCCUUUUGUUGGGAAAGAAAAGCAGCAGGUUAAUACCCCGCUGUUCUGACGGUACCCAAAGAAUAAGCACCGGCUAACUUCGUG